UUUGAUUGUCGCUUUGAGUUUUUAUUUGUAAUUUUUGAUCAUUCGUCUUAUUCAAAAAAUUUUGAAAUUAUUAUUUGUUUUGUUUGUGAUUUGCUUUAUUAUCAAAAGUAUUUUAAGUACAACUUAUUCUUUUUUAUAUUUGCACUAAUUUUUCAAAUAAAACGAAUGGUCAAGCAUUACAAGAAAAAAAUCAAAGCGACAUCUAUU
rnacentral:pre_miRNA from 1 species